AUUGAACGCUGGCGGCAGGCCUAACACAUGCAAGUCGAACGGGUGGCGGACGGGUGGGUAAUGUCUGUGAAACUGCCUGAUGGAGGGGGUUAACUACUGGAAACGGUAGCUAAUACCGCAUACCAUCAGAUGGGCCGAGAUGGGAUUAGCUAGUUGGUGGGGUAAAGGCUUACCAAGGCGCCGAUCCCUAGCUGGUCUGAGAGGAUGACCAGCCACACUGGAACUGAGACACGGUCCAGACUCCUACGGGAGGCAGCAGUGGGGAAUAUUGCACAAUGGGCGAAAGCCUGAUACAGCCAUGCCGCGUGUAUGAAGAAGGCCUUCGGGUUGUAAAGCACUUUCAGCGGGGAGGCGUUACCCACAGAAGAAGCACCGGCUAACUCCGUGCCAGCAGCCGCGGUAAUAC
rnacentral:rRNA from 1 species